UUGAAUGGUGGAGUCGAACUUCUGCUGUUCUUAUUCAAUCUUUAAAAGUGACACCUUCCAGGAAGAAGGGGGCCCGGCGUCAAAUUGAGACCGUCGCUGAGUAUUUAGAUGAAUUCAAGGUGCUGAGACAGUCGUGGGGUUAUUCUCUUAUGACACCGUUAGGACGCUACAUCUAAACCCAGCAUUAUUUGGUCCCAUAAAUGUUGGAAGGUGUAAAACGUCUGUUGUGGACACUCAGAGCGGUUUUCUGCUGCAUGUGAAUGUUACGAGCUCGCUGGUAGCUGAAGUCGAUCGAUUCAGAGAAAAACUAUCUGCUGUCAAGAAAACCCUCCAGCCGUUUCCCAUCGUAGUGGGUAGCCAUUUAAAUGAUAUUACAGACUCUUAUGUUUACCUGGACAACUUCUACUAUCGAGUUGAUAGUCCACUAAGAGCCGUUGAUGUUUGCUUCAAGGCAUAUCAUGCUCUUAAUGCAUUUUACCCACAUCAAAGUGUGCAUCCAUGGCUGUUCCUGCAGAAGGCGGUGUAUGGAUUGGUGACUCAGUGGGACCCUGAAGUGCCAUGUGUGGGGACUAGGGUAAAGGAAUACCAAGAUCUCGAGUUUAAAGUCUAACGUCAACGAUGACACACGUUCCGUUUUGUGGUGACGAUUGUGAUAUAAUUGUGCAACUAGUGGUAUUUUUUAACCUUUAAAUUAAUUUAUCAUU